UGGGAAUGCCCCGAGGCGUUUUGUUAGGGACUGUGAAAUAUUGUGUCUGUUUCUUGGCAAAUCUGUCCAUUUCUCGGCAAAUGCAUAAAUUUUGAUAAUGAGCGAAGAUUUGGACGAGAGCUUGCCUUUGCAAGACUUAGAAAGCAUCUGGUCGGGUUCAGAGGAAGAUUUGGAGACGUCUAUGCAUAAUCUAUCGCUGAAUGACGAGGAUUAUGGUAAGUGUUGACAAAUUGAUACAAGCCAUGUGUGCAGGGCAUAUAAUUUCUGUUGGAAAUAUCGCAAUAUUUGCAUAAACCGCUUUUAAUAUUGUCAUUUUUCAUCACAUCAGAUAAUGAUAAACGGAGAACAAGCACUCCUAUACAAGAAAUACAUCAGAUAAUGAUAAACGGAGAACAAGCACUCCUAUACAAGAAGAAGGCAACGUGAAAAGCCCCGCGCAAGGAAAGCACACAUUCACGGCUCCAUCAACAAAGCAAACUCCAUAUUUGCCACCGUUGAAGAGAGUUUGUGUUGGUAAGUUUUAAAAAUAGUUUCAUAUAUUCAAAAUUAUAUAUCUCUUUGAACAAACUUUAUCGCGUGCGAGAUUUCAUUGGAUUUAUAAUUUAUUAAAUAGCUUAUAAUAAUUCAAUUGUUCAGGAAAAUCCCUAUCAGGGAAACAACGAUUGGAUCAAAGAAAGGCCACUACAUUGUUUUAAAAGAUGGUUUUGAAUUGCACGACAACAGUCAAACACCUAAUGAUACGGUUCUGGCAUAUCUGGGCGACGAUACUGUCAUAAAAUCACGCGUAUAAACUCGAGCAGUAAAGAGGCUUUCCUUGGAGUCUACAUCAAGAGGUAUAGAAAAGAUAACAAAAAUCAGUAUCCUUUUUAU